GACGAACGCUGGCGGCGUGCUUAACACAUGCAAGUCGAACGUGAUUUUUGUGGAAAUUCUUUCGGGAAUGGAAAUGAAAUGAAAGUGGCGAACGGGUGAGUAACACGUGAGCAACCUACCUUACACAGGGGGAUAGCCGUUGGAAACGACGAUUAAUACCGCAUGAGACCACAGAAUCGCAUGAUAUAGGGGUCAAAGAUUUAUCGGUGUAAGAAGGGCUCGCGUCUGAUUAGCUAGUUGGAAGGGUAAAGGCCUACCAAGGCGACGAUCAGUAGCCGGUAUGAGAGGAUGAACGGACACAUUGGAACUGAGACACGGUCCAAACUCCUACGGGAGGCAGCAGUGGGGAAUAUUGCAAAAUGGGGGGAACCCUGAUGCAGCGACGCCGCGUGAGCGAAGAAGGUUUUCGAAUCGUAAAGCGCUGUCCUAUGAGAAGAUAAUGACGGUAUCAUAGGAGGAAGCCCCGGCUAAAUACGUG
rnacentral:rRNA from 1 species